rnacentral:misc_RNA from 1 species
CAACCCUUAAGCCUAGCUUAGUGUUGGGAAUCUAUGUGUGGCCCACGUUACCCUGUAGCGUGGUUACCCUGUAGUUCCUGAAAAACAACGGCGGAUUUAUGGUAUCCUCUGAGCGUAGUAAUUUUUUAUCUCGCUUCUGUCUAGGUGCUGUAGAUUCUGCCGCUAAACCCCCAAAUUUUUGU